rnacentral:misc_RNA from 1 species
AGAAGGUAACAUUACAAUAAUAAACUGGAUCUGAAUAUAGAAGAUAAUACAGAUAAAUGACUGGUACAGACACUGAUGAAGGAUCAGCUAGUAAAUGAAUGAACUGUGUUACACAUGCCUGGGUUUUUGAGACACCAAAGUGGUUGAAUCGAUUCAGCACCUAUUCCCCUAGAAACCAUUCUGUACCUCCAUUCAUUCAGUCGAUCAGUAGCCUCUGCAUAUCUCUUCAUUCCUGUUUCAUCACGAUUUCCUGACCACAAUGCUUCUGCCAUUGCUGAUGCUCUUGGCCAAAUCCUUGAGUCCAUAACAGUUGAAUCAGCUUGUUCGGACCAUAAUGCUACUUCCCCUCCAAUUACCAAUGGAGCCUCCUCAUCAGUUAGGCCGUAGGUUAUAUCAUAGUUGUAAAUGGUUUCCCACGUCUUGAAAGGCCCACACCAUGAUCCGCCAUUGCCUUGGUCAGUACCUGGUGGCUGAUCAUAGCGGCUGUCAUUCCCAACGAAGCUUCCAUGGCCACAAUCCAAGUAAUAGUAAUCUGCAGAUGACACAAUCACACGGUAGCCAGAAGUGACAAGCUGCUUUGUAUUGUUUGGUCCAUUAUUCCAAGUUUGCAUAAUAACAUUCUGUGGAGGAAGCAGAGAUGGAUUCACUUUCACAUUACCACUCAAUAUAACAUCCUCCCAGUAGACCACCGUACGAUUGAGUGAGAGGAUUUCAGGUAAGGUAUUAUUGAUAAACUUCUCUAGUAGCUGACUGAGAGUUCCAUUGCUAGCAACAAACUUUUGGACUGAUAGAUCAGUAUUCCAACAGUCUGAAUUGAUCUCAUCUGCUCCUCCGUGAAAGAGUGAAUCCGGAAACAUGGCGAUAGUGCCCUGGAUGACAUUCUUGACUACUUCAUAGGUCUUGGGAAUCGAUGGGUUCAGUUGGCCCGCUGGAAGUAGUCCAGCUCUUGCAGCUGAACCAGGCACUGGCCAACUGAA